rnacentral:rRNA from 1 species
CCUACGGGAGGCAGCAGUGGGGAAUAUUGCACAAUGGGGGAAACCCUGAUGCAGCCACGCCGCGUGAGUGAAGAAGUCAUUCUUGAUGUAAAGCUCUAUCAGCAGGGAAGAAAAUGACGGUACCUGACUAAUACGCCCCGGCUAACUCCGUUCCAGCAGCCGCGGUACUACGUAGGGGGCAAGCGUUAUCCGGAUUUACUGGGUGUAAAGGGAGCGUAGACGGCGACGCAAGUCUGAAGUGAAAUGCCAGGGCUCAACACUGGAACUGCUUUGGAAACUGUGUAGCUAGAGUGCAGGAGAGGUAAGGGGAAUUCCUAGUGUAGCGGUGAAAUGCGUAGAUAUUAGGAGGAACACCAGUGGCGAAGGCGGCUUACUAGACUGUAACUGACGUUGAGGCUCGAAGGCGUGGGGAGCAAACAGGAUUAGAUACCCCGGUAGUC